rnacentral:rRNA from 1 species
AACUAACGCUAGCGGCGUGCCUAACACAUGCAAGUCGUACGAGAAAGUCGGCUUCGGCCGGCGAGUAAAGUGGCGCACGGGUGAGUAACGCGUGGAUAAUCUACCCUUGAGUUGGGAAUAACGUGCCGAAAGGUGCGCUAAUACCGAAUAAUACUGAGUGACUAAUGUUGCUUAGUCAAAGAAGGCCUCUGCUUGCAAGCUUUCGCUGAAGGAUGAGUCCGCGUACCAUUAGCUAGUUGGUAGGGUAAUGGCCUACCAAGGCAACGAUGGUUAGCUGGUCUGAGAGGAUGAUCCCCCAACUGGAACUGAGACACGGUCCAGACUCCUACGGGAGGCAGCAGUGAGGAAUAUUGGACAAUGGAUGGAAAUCUGAUCCAGCCAUGCCGCGUGCAGGAAGACGGCCCUAUGGGUUGUAAACUGCUUUUGAUGGGAGCAAUAAGGUCUAUGCGUAGACUGAUGAGAGUACCAUACGAAUAAGC